AACGUAGGAGACAAACGUUAUCCGGAGUUACUGGGCGUAAAGGGCGUGUAGGCGGUUAGUUAAGUCUGGCGUGAAAGCUCUCGGCUAAACCGGGAGAGGUCGUUGGAUACUGGCUGACUAGAGGACGGUAGAGGCGUGUGGAAUUCCGGGUGUAGUGGUGAAAUGCGUAGAGAUCCGGAGGAACACCAGUGGCGAUGGCGACACGCUGGGCCGUACCUGACGCUAAAGCGCGACAGCAUGGGGAGCAAACGGG
rnacentral:rRNA from 1 species